CUGGCCCCAUAGAUUGGUCUCAUAGACUGUCCCAGCCCCAUAGAUUGGCUCCAGCCCCAUAGAUCAGCCCCAUAGACAUUUUCAGCCCCAUAGAUCGGCCCCAUAGCGGGUCCUGGCCCCAUAGAUUGGCUCCUGCCCCAUAGAUUGGCUCCAGCCCCAUAGAUCGGGCUAUGGGGCAAAGCUAUGGGGCAGAGCUGUGAGGUGCUAUGGGGCAGAUAUGGCGCUAUGGGGCGCUAUGGGGCAGCUAUGGGGCAGAAAUGUGCGGCAAUGGGAAUGGAUGGAGGAUGAAUGGGGGCUAUGGGGCGCUAUGGGGCGCUAUAGGGUGACUAUAGGGCAUCUAUGGGGCAGAGCUAUGGGGCUCUAUGGGGCUCUAUGGGGCAGAGAUGGUGUUAUGGGGUGCAGAGAUGGAGGACAUGGGAAUGGAUGGAGGAUGAAUGGGGGCUAUGGGGUUAUGGGGCGCUAUAGGGCAGCUAUGGGGCAUCUAUGGGGCAGAGCUAUGGGGCGCUAUGGGGCUCUAUGGGGCAGAGAUGGGGCUCUAUGGGGCAGAGAUGGAAGGCAAUAGGAAUGGAUGGAGAAUGAAUGGGGGCUAUGGGGAUAUGGGGCGCUAUGGGGCGGCUAUGGGGCAUCUAUGGGGCAGAGCUAUGGGGCGAUAUGGGGCUCAAUGGGGCAGAGAUGGAAGGCAAUGGGAAUGGAUGGAGGAUGAAUGGGGUCUUUGGGGUUAUGGGGCGCUAUGGGGCGCUAUAGGGCGGCUAUGGGGCAUCUAUGGGGCAGAGCUAUGGGGCGCUAUGGGGCUCUAUGGGGCAGAUAUGGAGCUCUAUGGGGCAGAGAUGGAGGGCAAUGGGAAUGGAUGGAGGAUGAAUGGGGUCUAUGGGGCGCUAUGGGGCGCUAUGGGGCGCUAUAGGGCAGCUAUGGGGCAUCUAUGGGGCAGAGCUAUGGGGCGGAUCUAUGGGGCCGCCCCGUCCUCACCUCCGUGGCUGCGCCUUUGGCCGCUGCGGUGGCUGCAAAACGGCGUCACGGUGGGGGGGGGGGGG
rnacentral:lncRNA from 1 species